GACGAACGCUGGCGGCGUGCCUAAUACAUGCAAGUCGAACGCUGAAGGAGGAGCUUGCUUCUCUGGAUGAGUUGCGAACGGGUGAGUAACGCGUAGGUAACCUGCCUGGUAGCGGGGGAUAACUAUUGGAAACGAUAGCUAAUACCGCAUAAUAGUAGAUGUUGCAUGACAUUUGCUUAAAAGGUGCAAUUGCAUCACUACCAGAUGGACCUGCGUUGUAUUAGCUAGUUGGUGAGGUAACGGCUCACCAAGGCGACGAUACAUAGCCGACCUGAGAGGGUGGUCGGCCACACUGGGACUGAGACACGGCCCAGACUCCUACGGGAGGCAGCAGUAGGGAAUCUUCGGCAAUGGACGGAAGUCUGACCGAGCAACGCCGCGUGAGUGAAGAAGGUUUUCGGAUCGUAAAGCUCUGUUGUAAGAGAAGAACGAGUGUGAGAGUGGAAAGUUCACACUGUGACGGUAUCUUACCAGAAAGGGACGGCUAACUACGUG
rnacentral:rRNA from 1 species